GACGAACGCUGGCGGCGUGCUUAACACAUGCAAGUCGAACGGAAAGGCCCUGCUUUUGUGGGGUGCUCGAGUGGCGAACGGGUGAGUAACACGUGAGUAACCUGCCCUUGACUUUGGGAUAACUUCAGGAAACUGGGGCUAAUACCGGAUAGGAGCUCCUGCUGCAUGGUGGGGGUUGGAAAGUUUCGGCGGUUGGGGAUGGACUCGCGGCUUAUCAGCUUGUUGGUGGGGUAGUGGCUUACCAAGGCUUUGACGGGUAGCCGGCCUGAGAGGGUGACCGGCCACAUUGGGAAUGAGGUACGGCCCAGACUCCUACGGGAGGCAACAGUGGGGAAUAUUGCACAAUGGGCGGAAGCCUGAUGCAGCAACGCCGCGUGCGGGAUGACGGCCUUCGGGUUGUAAACCGCUUUCGCCUGUGACGAAGCGUGAGUGACGGUAAUGGGUAAAGAAGCACCGGCUAACUACGUG
rnacentral:rRNA from 1 species